GUUAUAGGGUCAAGCGAACAAGUGCAUGUGGUGGAUGCCUUGGCGAUCACAGGCGAUGAAGGACGCGGUAGCCUGCGAAAAGCCCCGGGGAGCUGGCAAACGAGCUUUGAUCCGGGGAUGUCCGAAUGGGGAAACCCACUCCGAAUGGAGUAUCCAUGGCUGAAUACAUAGGCCAUGUGAAGCGAACGCGGUGAACUGAAACAUCUAAGUAACCGCAGGAAAAGAAAUCAACCGAGAUUCCCAAAGUAGUGGCGAGCGAAAUGGGAAGAGCCUGUACGUGUUAUCUGUAUUGUUAGCUGAACGCUCUGGAAAGUGCGGCCAUAGCAGGUGAUAGCCCUGUAAGCGAAAACAGUAUGGAAGGACUAGGCGUACGACAAGUAGGGCGGGACACGUGAAAUCCUGUCUGAAGAUGGGGGGACCAUCCUCCAAGGCUAAAUACUCGUGAUCGACCGAUAGUGAACCAGUACCGUGAGGGAAAGGCGAAAAGAACCCCGGGAGGGGAGUGAAAUAGAUCCUGAAACCGCAUGCAUACAAACAGUCGGAGCCUCGUAAGGGGUGACGGCGUACCUUUUGUAUAAUGGGUCAGCGACUUACGUUCAGUAGCAAGCUUAACUGAUUAAGGCAGGCGUAGCGAAAGCGAGUCCGAAUAGGGCGUUCAGUUGCUGGGCGUAGACCCGAAACCAAGUGAUCUAUCCAUGGCCAGGUUGAAGGUGCGGUAACACGUACUGGAGGACCGAACCCACUAACGUUGAAAAGUUAGGGGAUGAGCUGUGGAUAGGGGUGAAAGGCUAAACAAACUUGGAAAUAGCUGGUUCUCUCCGAAAACUAUUUAGGUAGUGCCUCGUGUAUCACCUUCGGGGGUAGAGCACUGUCAUGGUUGAAGGGUCCAUUGCGGAUUACUUCGCCAUAGCAAACUCCGAAUACCGAAGAGUGCAAUCACGGGAGACAGACAUCGGGUGCUAACGUCCGGUGUCAAGAGGGAAACAACCCAGACCGCCAGCUAAGGUCCCCAAAUAUAGCUAAGUGGGAAACGAAGUGGGAAGGCUAAAACAGUCAGGAGGUUGGCUUAGAAGCAGCCACCCUUUAAAGAAAGCGUAAUAGCUCACUGAUCGAGUCGUCCUGCGCGGAAGAUGUAACGGGGCUAAGCUAUAUACCGAAGCUGCGGAUGCGUGCUUGCACGCAUGGUAGGAGAGCGUUCCGUAAGCCUGCGAAGGUGUCUUGUAAAGGAUGCUGGAGGUAUCGGAAGUGCGAAUGCUGACAUGAGUAGCGAUAAAGGGGGUGAAAGGCCCCCUCGCCGUAAGCCCAAGGUUUCCUACGCAACGUUCAUCGGCGUAGGGUGAGUCGGCCCCUAAGGCGAGGCAGAAAUGCGUAGCUGAUGGGAAGCAGGUCAAUAUUCCUGCACCAUUGUUAGAUGCGAUGGGGGGACGGAUCGCGGAAGGUUGUCCGGGUGUUGGAAGUCCCGGUCGCUGCAUUGGAGAAGGCGCUUAGGCAAAUCCGGGCGCGCAAUUCAAGGGUGUGGCGCGAGCGGCCUAGAGCUGCGAAGCAAUCGGAAGUGGUUCCAAGAAAAGCCUCUAAGCUUCAGUCUAACGAUGACCGUACCGCAAACCGACACAGGUGGGCGAGAUGAGUAUUCUAAGGCGCUUGAGAGAACUCGGGAGAAGGAACUCGGCAAAUUGGUACCGUAACUUCGGGAUAAGGUACGCCCUUGUAGCUUGACUGGCUUGCGCCAGAAGGGUGAAAGGGUUGCAAUAAACUGGUGGCUGCGACUGUUUAAUAAAAACACAGCACUCUGCAAACACGAAAGUGGACGUAUAGGGUGUGACGCCUGCCCGGUGCCGGAAGAUUAAAUGAUGGGGUGCAAGCUCUUGAUUGAAGUCCCGGUAAACGGCGGCCGUAACUAUAACGGUCCUAAGGUAGCGAAAUUCCUUGUCGGGUAAGUUCCGACCUGCACGAAUGGCGUAACGAUNCCCGGUAAACGGCGGCCGUAACUAUAACGGUCCUAAGGUAGCGAAAUUCCUUGUCGGGUAAGUUCCGACCUGCACGAAUGGCGUAACGAUGGCCACACUGUCUCCUCCCGAGACUCAGCGAAGUUGAAGUGUUUGUGAUGAUGCAAUCUCCCCGCGGCUAGACGGAAAGACCCCAUGAACCUUUACUGUAGCUUUGCAUUGGACUUUGAACCGAUCUGUGUAGGAUAGGUGGGAGGCUAUGAAACCGGAACGCUAGUUUCGGUGGAGCCGUCCUUGAAAUACCACCCUGGUUUGUUUGAGGUUCUAACCUUGGCCCGUGAUCCGGGUCGGGGACAGUGCAUGGUAGGCAGUUUGACUGGGGCGGUCUCCUCCCAAAGUGUAACGGAGGAGUACGAAGGUACGCUAGGUACGGUCGGAAAUCGUGCUGAUAGUGCAAUGGCAUAAGCGUGCUUAACUGCGAGACCGACAAGUCGAGCAGGUGCGAAAGCAGGUCAUAGUGAUCCGGUGGUUCUGUAUGGAAGGGCCAUCGCUCAACGGAUAAAAGGUACUCUGGGGAUAACAGGCUGAUACCGCCCAAGAGUUCAUAUCGACGGCGGUGUUUGGCACCUCGAUGUCGGCUCAUCUCAUCCUGGGGCUGUAGCCGGUCCCAAGGGUAUGGCUGUUCGCCAUUUAAAGAGGUACGUGAGCUGGGUUUAAAACGUCGUGAGACAGUUUGGUCCCUAUCUGCCGUGGGCGUUGGAUAUUUGAAGGGGGCUGCUCCUAGUACGAGAGGACCGGAGUGGACGAACCUCUGGUGUACCGGUUGUCACGCCAGUGGCAUCGCCGGGUAGCUAUGUUCGGAAGAGAUAACCGCUGAAAGCAUCUAAGCGGGAAACUCGCCUUAAGAUGAGAUAUCCCCGGGGACUUGAUCCCCUUGAAGGGUCGUUCGAGACCAGGACGUUGAUAGGUCGGGUGUGUACAUGCAGUAAUGCAUUUAGCUAACCGAUACUAAUUGCCCGUACGGCUUGAUCCUAUAACC
rnacentral:rRNA from 2 species